CAGCAGCCGCGGGAAUACGUAGGGGGCAAGCGUUGUCCGGAAUUAUUGGGCGUAAAGCGCGCGCAGGCGGUCAUGUAAGUCUGGUGUUUAAUCCCGGGGCUCAACCCCGGAUCGCACUGGAAACUGGGUGACUUGAGUGCAGAAGAGGAGAGUGGAAUUCCACGUGUAGCGGUGAAAUGCGUAGAGAUGUGGAGGAACACCAGUGGCGAAGGCGACUCUCUGGGCUGUAACUGACGCUGAGGCGCGAAAGCGUGGGGAGCAAACAGGAUUAGAUACCCGUGUAGUCCCUGUCUCUUAUACA
rnacentral:rRNA from 1 species